GACGAACCGAGCGAACGUUAUUCGGAAUCACUGGGCUUAAAGGGUGCGUAGGCGGGCGAUCAAGUCAGGGGUGAAAGCCUCCAGCUCAACUGGAGAAGUGCCUUUGAUACUGGUCGUCUCGAGGGAGGUAGGGGCGUGCGGAACUUCCGGUGGAGCGGUGAAAUGCGUAGAUAUCGGAAGGAACACCAGUGGCGAAAGCGGCGCGCUGGACCUCUUCUGACGCUGAGGCACGAAAGCGUGGGGAGCAAACAGG
rnacentral:rRNA from 1 species